GGGAAGCCAAAUCGACGCCCCGGUCGCCAUAAAUGCAGCGCCAGGUACGCCCCUGCCACGCCCAUUUCCUUUUCGAAAACCGCGCGCACGAUCGGCCGCGAAAACAUCCUAUCCUCCUCGAUUCGCGGGACGGCGCUCCCCAUAACUCCACUUCCCGGGUAGCGCGCCCACGACGCCUCCCACGUUCGGCCCAGGCGCAACGACCGCUCCGCUCUGACCCAAGGCCCACAGGGAGGUAAGAAAGGGAUACGGGGCUGAAAACGCCCCUACGGCCCAUUACGGUCCAAAGGUUCGAAAGCUGGCCCGACACGGGUUCGACAGCUGCCUCAGGACAUCCCCCGAGCAAGGGGUGAGAAGGGACGGGCCCGCUAGCGGCCAAUACCCAGGCGAGCGAAAGCCAAGGGCGUCCCAAUCUCACGUUCGAGUCCCGCCCGGUAUAAAAUUCAUGGUUUUUCCACGGGGAAAGGCAACGAGCCCCCAGAUCCGAUCGAACGGAUCCGGGAACUAUAUGAACUGGCCGGCGGGAAAUUGGAGUGCGCCACCAGCUUGGCCCGAGCUGGACCCCCCCCCCCCGAACGGGGACCGGGACUCCACUCGAACCUAC
rnacentral:lncRNA from 1 species